GAUGAAGAACGUAGCGAAAUGCGAUAAGUAAUGUGAAUUGCAGAAUUCAGUGAAUCAUCGAAUCUUUGAACGCACAUUGCGCCCCUUGGUAUUCCGGGGGGCAUGCCUGUCCGAGCGUCAUUGCUGCCCUCAAGCACGGCUUGUGUGUUGGGCCUCCGUCCUCCUCCCGGGGGACGGGCCCGAAAGGCAGCGGCGGCACCGCGUCCGGUCCUCGAGCGUAUGGGGCUUCGUCACCCGCUCUUGUAGGCCCGGCCGGCGCUUGCCGACACAUCAAUCUUUUUUCCAGGUUGACCUCGGAUCAGGUAGGGAUACCCGCUGAACUUAAGCAUAUCAAUAAGCGGAGGA
rnacentral:misc_RNA from 1 species